UGGCAAAUUGUUCAAGCUUUCUAUGAAGAUUUAGGUGACCAAUAUAGACAGAUGGUAGAUGUAUCUUGUGGAGCUGUAUUCAUGAGUAAGAGUGAGGAUGAAGCUUAUACUUUGUUUGAAACUUUGAGUAAAAAUUUGAUCAACCAUUCUUCAUUAUCCUCUUACAAAAGAUCAAUCCCUCACCAAAAGUAGAUAGAAAUUUUUGAGAUCAAGCAAACAGACUCUAGUCCUA
rnacentral:lncRNA from 1 species